GGCCUGUUAGCUCAGUUGGUUAGAGCGCCGUGCUAAUAACGCGGAUCGAGGUCAUGAGUUCGAUCCUCUUACGGGCCA
rnacentral:tRNA from 1 species